CCUACGGGAGGCAGCAGCAAGGAAUAUUGUGCAAUGGGCGAAAGCCUGACACAGCUACGCCGCGUGGGGGAAGAAGGCCUUCGAGGAAUAAACCCCUUUUCUCAGGGAAGAAUAAAGACGGACCCCUCAGGAA
rnacentral:rRNA from 1 species